AAUGAACGCUGGCGGCAUGCCUAACACAUGCAAGUCGAACGGUAACAGUCCUUCGGGAGCUGACGAGUGGCGCACGGGUGAGUAACACGUGAAUCAUCUACCCUUAGGUUCGGAAUAACUACUGGAAACGGUAGCUAAUACUGAAUGUGUUUCUUCGGAAAGAAAGGUGGCCUCUUCUUGGAAGCUAUCGCCUUUGGAUGAGUUCGCGUCCCAUUAGCUUGUUGGUAGGGUAACCGGCCUACCAAGGCUACGAUGGGUAGCUGGUCUGAGAGGAUGAUCAGCCACACUGGAACUGAGACACGGUCCAGACUCCUACGGGAGGCAGCAGUGGGGAAUAUUGCGCAAUGGAGGAAACUCUGACGCAGCAAUGCCGCGUGGACGAAGAAGGCCCUCGGGUCGUAAAGUCCUGUUCAUAAGGACGAUAAUCAUUGGGCUAAUAUCCCGAUGUGAGGACGGUACUUGUGAAGAAAGCACCGGCUAA
rnacentral:rRNA from 1 species